rnacentral:rRNA from 1 species
UACGGGAGGCAGCGGUGGGGAAUAUUGCACAAUGGGCGAAAGCCUGAUGCAGCUAUGCCGCGUGUAUGAAGAAGGCCUUAGGGUUGUAAAGUACUUUCAUCGGGGAGGAAAAAACAAAACUAAUAAUUUUAUUUCUUGACGUUACCCGAAAAAGAAGCACCGGCUAACUCCGUGCCAGCAGCCGCGGUAAUACGGAGGGUGCUAGCGUUAAUCAGAAUUACUGGGCGUAAAGAGCACGUAGGUGGUUUUUUUAAAGUCAGAUGUGAAAUCCCUGGGCUUAACCUAGGAACUGCAUUUUGAAACUGAAAUACUAGAGUAUCGUAGAGGGAGGUAGAAUUCUAGGUGUAGCGGUGAAAUGCGUAGAUAUCUGGAGGAAUACCUGUGGCGAAAGCGGCCUCCUAAACGAAUACUGACACUGAGGUGCGAAAGCGUGGGGAGCAAACAGGGAUUAGAUACCCGU